AUUGAACGCUGGCGGCAGGCUUAACACAUGCAAGUCGAGCGGAGUGAUGGUGCUUGCACUAUCACUUAGCGGCGGACGGGUGAGUAAUGCUUAGGAAUCUGCCUAUUAGUGGGGGACAACACCUCGAAAGGGAUGCUAAUACCGCAUACGUCCUACGGGAGAAAGCAGGGGAUCACUUGUGACCUUGCGCUAAUAGAUGAGCCUAAGUCGGAUUAGCUAGUUGGUGGGGUAAAGGCCUACCAAGGCGACGAUCUGUAGCGGGUCUGAGAGGAUGAUCCGCCACCCUGGGACUGAGACACGGCCCAGCAUCCUACGGGAGGCAGCAGUGGGGAAUAUUGGACAAUGGGGGGAACCCUGAUCCAGCCAUGCCGCGUGUGUGAAGAAGGCCUUAUGGUUGUAAAGCACUUUAAGCGAGGAGGAGGCUCUUUUGGUUAAUACCCAAGAUGAGUGGACGUUACUCGCAGAAUAAGCACCGGCUAACUCUGUGCCAGCCGCCGCGGUAA
rnacentral:rRNA from 1 species